CCAAUAGCGUAUAUUAAAGUUGUUGCAGUUAAAAAGCUCGUAGUUGAAUUUCGGGAUCAGUACGCUGGUCGUACCUUCGGUACGUACUGGUGUCACUGAUUCCUCCCUUCUGAAGAACCAUCAUGCCAUUCAGUUGGUGUGGCAGGGAAUCAGGACUGUUACUUUGAAAAAAUUAGAGUGUUUAAAGCAGGCUCGCGCUU
rnacentral:rRNA from 1 species